rnacentral:rRNA from 1 species
AUAGAGACUCAGAGCUGCAUAUCAAUAAGCGGAGGAAAAGAAACUAACAAGGAUUCCCUUAGUAACGGCGAGUGAAGCGGGAAGAGCUCAAAUUUGAAAUCUUCAAGGUUUUACCUUGACGAAUUGUAGUUUAAAGAAGUGUUUUCUGUUGGAAGUUUUGGUAAAAGUUCUUUGGAAUAGGACAUCAUAGAGGGUGAGAAUCCCGUAUUUGACCAUUUACUUUCAGCUUUGUGAUACACUUUCAAAGAGUCGGAUUGUUUGGGAAUGCAGUCCAAAAUGGGUGGUAAAUUUCAUCUAAAGCUAAAUAUUGGCGAGAGACCGAUAGCGAACAAGUACCGUGAGGGAAAGAUGAAAAGAACUUUGAAAAGAGAGUUAAACAGUACGUGAAAUUGUCAAAAGGGAAGCGUUUGACACCAGUGUUGUUUUUCUGAAAAUCAAUUAAAGAACUGUUUAUGCUAAGUUGUUUAGACUUUAUCAGCUAUCUGUUUAGUUUUGAGCUUUUCUUUAAUGCACUUUUCAGUUAACAAGUCAACAUCAAUUUCUUUUGCUGUAAAAAAGCUUGAGGAAGGUGGCUUGAGAUUCGUCUUAAGUGUUUAUAGCCUCUUGCCUAUGCAGUCGGAGAGAUUGAGGUCUGCAGCGUAAGAUCCUUCGGAGCUAAAUGCAUUUGUGCUAAGUUAUAGCAUUUUAUAGACAACUUGUUGACUAUGAUUUGUCUUGUAGCUUACUCGCUUAUGUUAUUUUACCUACGCUUAGGAUGUUGAACGCGCACAGAGUCUC